AGGUCCAAUGUACCCAUGGUAGGACCAUUCUUAAAUGAUCAAAAUCAUUUCUUUGCCAGACUUACCUUCUUUCAGCAGCUGCCACAGUAACUUAAGAACCUAUAAACCACAGAAUUUGGCUUUUAGUGCUGAAAAAGGGUUCCAUCACUGAUCCACUCCGGUGUUGGCUGGAAGGAUUCCUGAAAUCGUUUGUGCUGACUCCUGGCCUGGAAGCUCACCUGAAAAACUGCAGCAAAGGUAAUAGUUCUUACAGGGUUAAUGCGAAAGGCUGCAUUCAGCUCCACCCAAUUUGAUGGUGUGAUAAGGACCUGGCUGGGGAAAAGCUGAAGGUCUUUGAAUCACAAAGGAAACAGACUUGCUAGUCACAAUCUCCCAACUGUCUGAGCAACAACGUUGAUCU